rnacentral:rRNA from 1 species
CUACGGGGCGCAGCAGUGGGGAAUAUUGCACAAUGGAGGAAACUCUGAUGCAGCAACGCCGCGUGGAGGAUGACACUUUUCGGAGCGUAAACUCCUUUUAUAUAGGAAGAAGAUGACGGUACUAUAUGAAUAAGCGCCGGCUAACUCCGUGCGAGCAGCCGCGGUAAUACGGAGGGCGCAAGCGUUACUCGGAAUCACUGGGCGUAAAGAGCGUGUAGGCGGAUUAAAAAGUCAGAAGUGAAAUCCUAUAGCUUAACUAUAGAACUGCUUCUGAAACUCUUAAUCUAGAAUAUGGGAGAGGUAGAUGGAAUUUCUGGUGUAGGGGUAAAAUCCGUAGAGAUCAGAAGGAAUACCGAUUGCGAAGGCGGUCUACUAGAACAUUAUUGACGCUGAGACGCGAAAGCGUGGGGAGCAAACAGGAUUAGAUACCCCCGUAGUC